UGUGGUCAUCUAUAGUUAAUCUCAUCUCACUCUGCUACUGCAAAUAGACGUGCCAAUACUUAUUGGUCAACAAACAGCAGGAUAUACAAGCCUGAGAAGAAGCUGUGUAUAGAUAAACAACAUCUUCAUGCUUACAAUCAUUCCCUUGAUGUGUUGCAGUGGUGACCCCAGGGACACACUUGUGUGCUCAGAAUCUGCUGGAUCUCCUGCCUUCAAAUUUGGUUUCAUCAUUCUGCUCUGUACCUCAUGUCUCUCUCUGGAGUCCCCUUUCUGCCUCUUUGAUUAAGCUACAGAUCACAAAUGCAAUAUCCCUUACAGGCCGGACCCCACUUAGAAACUAUUCCUUCAAAACUGACACUCCUGGGCUCAUAAAACUCCUCAUUAGAGGAGUUUCUGAUUAACUGGUGCUGAUUAACUGGUGCUGAAAGAGCUUUCACAUUUCACCUCCUGGUGGGACAAGAAAACAAAAUCAUAUGGCAG
rnacentral:lncRNA from 1 species